GAAAUCGCUUAAAUUUUACAAUUAUUUAGUUUAUGAACAGCUUAUUCGAAAACAACAAUAAAAAAUAUAGGUCACCGAUUAGUUAAAAAAGAUAUUUCAAUUUUAAUGCCAAAAAAUGGCAUUUUUGCACCAAAGGGAGAUAAUUUGGAGCUUUUUCAAUGAUAUCUACAUUUUAAAAGUCACAUGGGGCCAACACGAAUUGAUUUUGUGGAAUGAUUUUUGCACCAUAUGAUAAAGUAACAACUAUUAAAGGUAAUAAAAAGAAUUUGUAAUGAAAAAAUAAAGUUUAUUUUUUUUCUGAAAAUCUUAUACCCGCGAGCCUCCUUAA
rnacentral:lncRNA from 1 species